UGAUCUGUUCCGACCAGGAUCACACAGGCCAGUCACCAACCCCGUGAAACUCACCGGAGAGUACUCUUUCAAUCAGUUUCACACCUAACUUGUUUGUUCAAACCUUUGGUAGUUCACUACAAGUUGCAACACCGGAGCCUGUUUUUCCUCAAGGUUAUAUAAGUACCUUAAUUUAUCUCUCCCACCUGUUUUCUCAACCUGCUUUCCCCCCCCCUUAAUUUGCAUUUAUUUCUGAACUUUACUUGUUAAUGAGUUAUUGUACCAAACAUGUAAUUUCCCAAAAGACACAGCCUUUUCUUUUCUGUCUUUUCAGUGGCUGUGAUUUCAGAAAGCAGCAAAUACAAGGCUAGUCUUCAGCUGCUAAAUGUCUGCUAAAUAUUACAAAGCGUCACAUAUCAAAAUGAUCUGUUGUGCUUUAAUCUAAAAAAAAAUGCAACUUUAUUUUCAAGUCAGAUCUUGUUAGUUGAAUAUAUUUCAGCCCUCUAUGGCAUUCUGCAGUUCUUUUCAUUUUUGCUUUUAAACUUUUAGCCUUCAAGCCAGUGGAGAUAAGAGAGCAUUAUUAACAUUAUGUUGAAUGUUACACUGCAAAUAAUUUUCUUACAUUCUAAGGGGGGAAUAAAAAUGAACACCUACAAGAAUAUACAGACAUUUCUGGAUGAUGCUUCCAGCAACCAUCAAAAGUAAGAUAGGUGGAUUGUUAGUUCCAAACGAGAUUUUGAUGCUUACAAAUAUAUGGAAAAUGUAUUGUAGCCAAUUAAGGAGGAAAGGCUGAGGAAGAUAGACAACUUUGGAAGUUAUGGUGGCAUUGAAUAAUUCAAAUAAUUUGUAGGAAAAGGCUUGAAGGCAUGGGGUAUUAGUAUUAAUAAUAAAUCUGUGUUUAUGCAAUGUCAUUGCAUAUAGAAUUGCAAGGCAUUAUUUUCAUCAUGAUGCUCUGGUUUUCAAUCCUGAAUUUCCACCUGCAAAUCUUGUUAAAUUUAUGUCACUGUAAAAUUUAUAGGCUUGAUCUUUAAUUACACCUUAUCUAUUGGCUUUUUGCAUCCUUUUGUCUAUUGAUAAAUCUCCUGCCCCUACGGGGAGAAUAGCCUAUCUGUUUUGUUUUGCAAGGAACAGAUAGCGAUUCUGAAGUCUUCCAUCACACCCAACUCCUUGUGAUUAGAAUUAUCUAAUUAGAGCCUUUUUGUCACCAUUUCUGAUAAAUGAAGGAAAUUGCGCGAUGAAGGCCAGAGUUACAUAUAUACGUAGCUUCUUGCCAAGAAACGCGAAGAAAAUUUAUCAUUUUGUACCCUGUGGCUCCCAUAUCAGUUAGGAGGAGGCGUAAAGUGGCCUGCUAUUUACAGUUCAUCAAUCUAGAAUAAUAAUGCUGUUAGGCAAGAAAUUGGAAGUUCUAUCCCAUCAGCAUCUCUGAUUGCAAGUGGCAGCGAAGAAAUGAAAGACCUAAAACUUUUGCCAUCACUCAGUUAAGAAUGGAUGCAUGUGGUGCAGUCUUUGGAAUGGAGCAGUUGUUGACAUCCUUAACUCCAGUGGACCUAAUGAGUCUCUGUUUUGCAUUUACGGAAUGCAUUUCUGGAAUAGAUCUGGGAACUGCCUCUAUCAGCAGAAGGGCUAGUAGUUCAGUGGCAGGCUUUUGGCACCUCUUUUCUGUAAAAACUCCAGACAGUACAUAUCUUAGGCUUUGUAGGCUACGUGUGGUCUCUCUUCCACUGUCGUGCAGAGGCAGCCAUUGGUAAUCCUAGAUAAACUGGCUGGGUUUCCAGAAAAAUUUAUUUAUGAGCACUUAAAUUUGAGUUGUGUAUAAUUUUCAUGUUUCAGGAAAUAUUAUACUUCCUUUUAUUUUUUUUUCCCCUCAAUCAUUUAAAAAUAGAAGAACCAUUCUUACUUCACGGGCUGUAUUAAACUAGGUGGCCAGUUGGGUAGGUUGGAUAAGGUCCACAGGCUGUAGUUUGUCAACUCCUCUCCUAGUUUUUUUUUUUUUUCCCUGGGUGGGAUAGGACAGUCAUACGAGGAAUCUCCCAGAAGGCUAUAGAGUGGUUUGGAAGAAACAGAGAAAUUACUUCCUUAAGGGGAAAAUGGAGAAAAUAAAAAGUAAAAGAAGAAGAAAAGAUUGAGACAGAUAUCAAUUGAUGGUAUAUAGUCCAUAUGCUUUAACUUAGUUCUUCCUGAAAAUUCUAUGGUAUCCAUGGUUGCUUCACUCCAAAGUGCUGGAAUAUCGAUUUUCAUGUCAAUAAGACUUUGGGUCCAUCAGAGACACUUCUUAGCAUUUGGCCAAUAGACAAAGACAGAUCAGGAAGGGGUUGUUGUCUGUCACUUUGGGCACUUGAGACCAAGGCCUUGAAACCACAGUAGACCAGAGGUCUGCUCUGAGAUACAGGUAAUCCAUACCUCAUGUUCCUUCUGUGUAGAAAGAGUCUAUCAACCAGUACAUGGGGGGACAAUUCUCAUUGUUAGAGGAAUCCAAAAUUGAGAUGAGUGAUGCCAAAACUACCUGCAAGAAGUGUCUGGUGUUGUGCUGAGCAGUGGUCAAGCAGGAUUAUUCUAAGAGGCAUUCCAGCUGUGGCCAGGACAUCAUAGGAGGAGGCAUUCAAGGUCCCUUUUCAUUGUCCUGGUUGGUGACUUACUCGGCUGUACAAUGGAGACCAAAAGAGGACAUAUCUUGCAGGAUGGCUUUUUGAGGGUUAUAUGUAACAUAUGUAAGCACCUGCUAUGGUGCUUGGCCCCCGCUCUGGAGUGGAAUACGCAUUACCCAUUUGGCUCUUAAUUAUAUGCCACCCCACUACAUUCUU